rnacentral:rRNA from 1 species
AACCUGGGAACUGCAUUCGAAACUGGCAGGCUAGAGUCUUGUAGAGGGGGGUAGAAUUCCAGGUGUAGCGGUGAAAUGCGUAGAGAUCUGGAGGAAUACCGGUGGCGAAGGCGGCCCCCUGGACAAAGACUGACGCUCAGGUGCGAAAGCGUGGGGAGCAAACAGGAUUAGAUACCCUGGUAGUCCACGCCGUAAACGAUGUCGAUUUGGAGGUUGUGCCCUUGAGGCGUGGCUUCCGGAGCUAACGCGUUAAAUCGACCGCCUGGGGAGUACGGCCGCAAGGUUAAAACUCAAAUGAAUUGACGGGGGCCCGCACAAGCGGUGGAGCAUGUGGUUUAAUUCGAUGCAACGCGAAGAACCUUACCUGGUCUUGACAUCCACAGAACUUAGCAGAGAUGCUUUGGUGCCUUCGGGAACUGUGAGACAGGUGCUGCAUGGCUGUCGUCAGCUCGUGUUGUGAAAUGUUGGGUUAAGUCCCGCAACGAGCGCAACCCUUAUCCUUUGUUGCCAGCGGUUAGGCCGGGAACUCAAAGGAGACUGCCAGUGAUAAACUGGAGGAAGGUGGGGAUGACGUCAAGUCAUCAUGGCCCUUACGACCAGGGCUACACACGUGCUACAAUGGCAUAUACAAAGAGAAGCGACCUCGCGAGAGCAAGCGGACCUCAUAAAGUAUGUCGUAGUCCGGAUUGGAGUCUGCAACUCGACUCCAUGAAGUCGGAAUCGCUAGUAAUCGUAGAUCAGAAUGCUACGGUGAAUACGUUCCCGGGCCUUGUACACACCGCCCGUCACACCAUGGGAGUGGGUUGCAAAAGAAGUAGGUAGCUUAACCUUCGGGAGGGCGCUUACCACUUUGUGAUUCAUGACUGGGGUGAAGUCGUAACAAGGUAACCGUAGGGGAACCUGCGGUUGGAUCACCUCCUUA